UUGGGUAUGAAACUUUCUCUUCUCCAGACCUGGACUUGAACCUCAAAGCCUAAGGUGGAUGGCUUGGACAAUGAAAGGAUGCUGUACUCGUUAGAAUACAAGAUUCCUUUACUGUCCCUCAACCUUGACCAAAUGGGAAGCACUCCCCCUUGUCAACACAAGCUGGCAGAUACAUUUGACUCUACAGAUGAAGGUGAACAAUGUUAGGAUAAAAUUGCUUUGGAUCUUGCCUGGAAGGUGUUUUAAGUUUUGUAAUAAACAAGAUGAUGUCUGAAAAUGUGUAACAGGGCACCUUGCCUCUGUCCAUGUCACUAUUAACCCUUCAAGGUUGUAUAUUGCUGGCUGGGUGUGGCAGCUCAUGCCUGCUGUCCCAGCACUUUGGGAGCCUGAGGCGGGAGGAUCACUUGAGCCCAGGAGGUCAAGGCUGCAGUAAGCCAAGAUUGCGCCACUGUACUCUGGCCUGGGUGACUGAGUGUGACUCUAUCUCAAAAAAAGAAAAAGAAAAGUACUCUCAAAAUUUCCAGAUCAUAAAGAGAAAAGGGAUUAUGUUUAGAAUUUUUAAACACCUGAUUUUUAUGGGAAAAAUAAAGCUAUAGUAAGUAAAUUAACAAGAGCUAGGGUUUAUCUGCCUAGAUAAAUCAUAUUUAGAUGUAAUCAUUUUAUCCAUUCUUAUAGCA
rnacentral:sRNA from 1 species